UACGUAGGGGGCAAGCGUUGUCCGGAAUCAUUGGGCGUAAAGCGCGUGUAGGCGGCUCGGUAAGUCUGCUGUGAAAGUCAGGGCUCAACCCUGGGAUGCCGGUGGAUACUGUCGAGCUCGAGUCCGGAAGAGGCGAGUGGAAUUCCUGGUGUAGCGGUGAAAUGCGCAGAUAUCAGGAGGAACACCAAUGGCGAAGGCAGCUCGCUGGGACGUGACUGACGCUGAGACGCGAAAGCGUGGGGAGCAAACAGG
rnacentral:rRNA from 1 species